GACGAACGCUGGCGGCGUGCUUAACACAUGCAAGUCGAACGAAGAGCGAUGGAAGCUUGCUUCUAUCAAUCUUAGUGGCGAACGGGUGAGUAACGCGUAAUCAACCUGCCCUUCAGAGGGGGACAACAGUUGGAAACGACUGCUAAUACCGCAUACGAUCUAAUCUCGGCAUCGAGGAUAGAUGAAAGGUGGCCUCUACAUGUAAGCUAUCACUGAAGGAGGGGAUUGCGUCUGAUUAGCUAGUUGGAGGGGUAACGGCCCACCAAGGCGAUGAUCAGUAGCCGGUCUGAGAGGAUGAACGGCCACAUUGGGACUGAGACACGGCCCAGACUCCUACGGGAGGCAGCAGUGGGGAAUCUUCCGCAACGGACGAAAGUCUGACGGAGCAACGCCGCGUGAGUGAUGACGGCCUUCGGGUUGUAAAGCUCUGUUAAUCGGGACGAAAGGCCUU
rnacentral:rRNA from 1 species